UGGGCUGGGGUUCAGUGGUGCAGCACUUGCCUAGCAUGUAUGAGGCCCUGGGUUCCAUCCCCAGCACCACAA
rnacentral:tRNA from 1 species